rnacentral:misc_RNA from 1 species
AAGUCGUAACAAGGUUUCCGUAGGUGAACCUGCGGAAGGAUCAUUAUUGAAAUAAACCUGAUGGGUUGUUGCUGGUUCUCUAGGGAGCAUGUGCACGCCUUGUCAUCUUUAUAUCUCCACCUGUGCACCUUUUGUAGAUCUUUCAGGUCUAUGUUUGCUUCAUUUACACACAAUGCAUGUUAAUAGAAUGUUGUGCCUAUGUAAUAUAUACAACUUUCAGCAACGGAUCUCUUGGCUCUCGCAUCGAUGAAGAACGCAGCGAAAUGCGAUAAGUAAUGUGAAUUGCAGAAUUCAGUGAAUCAUCGAAUCUUUGAACGCACCUUGCGCUCCUUGGUAUUCCGAGGAGCAUGCCUGUUUGAGUGUCAUUAAUACAUAUAUAUCAGCCCUCUCUUGUUGAGUGGUUUGGAUGUGGGGGUUUGCUGGCCUCUUAAAAGGGGUUCAGCUCUCCUGAAAUGCAUUAGCAGAACAACCUGUUCAUUGGUGUGAUAACUAUCUACGCUAUUGAAUGUGAAGGGAAGUUCGGCUUUCUAACAGUCUUUCCUUGGACAAUUUACAUCAUUAAUGUGACCUCAAAUCAGGUAGGACUACCCGCUGAACUUAAGCAUAUCAAUAAGCGGAGGAAAAGAAACUAACAAGGAUUCCCCUAGUAACUGCGAGUGAAGCGGGUAAAGCUCAAAUUUAAAAUCUGGCGGUCUUUUGGCUGUCCGAGUUGUAAUCUAGAGAA